rnacentral:rRNA from 1 species
UAGGGAAUCUUCCGCAAUGGGCGCAAGUCUGACGGAGCAACGCCGCGUGAGUGAAGAAGGAUUUCGGUUCGUAAAACUCUGUUGUUAGAGAAGAACAGCGCAUAGAGUAACUGUUAUGCGUGUGACGGUAUCUAACCAGAAAGCCACGGCUAACUACGUGCCAGCAGCCGCGGUAAUACGUAGGUGGCAAGCGUUGUCCGGAUUUAUUGGGCGUAAAGCGAGCGCAGGCGGUCAAUUAAGUCUGAUGUGAAAGCCCCCGGCUCAACCGGGGAGGGUCAUUGGAAACUGGUUGACUUGAGUGCAGAAGAGGGGAGUGGAAUUCCAUGUGUAGCGGUGAAAUGCGUAGAUAUAUGGAGGAACACCAGUGGCGAAGGCGACUCUCUGGUCUGUAACUGACGCUGAGGUUCGAAAGCGUGGGUAGCAAACAGG